GGCCUCUUAACUCAGUUGGUUAGAGUGUGGUGCUAAUAUAUUAGUAUACGCCAAAGUCGCAGGUUCGACCCCUGCAGGGGCCA
rnacentral:tRNA from 1 species